rnacentral:rRNA from 1 species
GCACUUAAAGUUUGACCCCCCGAAACUUAAGCGAGCUACUUUACAACAGCCCAUAGAGCCAACCCGUCCCUGUUACAAAAGGGUGGGAAGAUUUUAAAGUAGCGGUGACACACCCAUCGAGCCUAGAGAUAGCUGGUUAUUCAGAAAAAGGAUUUAAGUCCAACUUUAAGCCCACCCCACGUAACACUAAACACACCAACAACUUAAAAGCCAUUCAAAUGGGGUACAGCCCACUUGAACAAGGAAACAGCCUACAACACCGGGUAACGACCAACACACGUGACAAAGUAGGCCUAAAAGCAGCCAACUUCCAAAAAGCGUCCAAGCUUCUCCACCAACCAUUCCCAAUCCCACCAUUAAAACACAACCCACACCCAAUACUGAAUGAUCCCAUACCCCCCCCCCCCCCCACAUGAGAGUCAUCAUGCUAGAACUAGUAACAAGAAGCAAAGAGCUUCUCCAAAAAUGUAAGCAUAAGCCAAAAUGAACCCAUCACCGGCACCCACCGCCACCCCGCAGUACCACCUCCCCCAAGAAAAACCUACUGCACCAAGCGU